rnacentral:lncRNA from 1 species
GAAAAAGUAAAUGAAAUUCAGAAAGGUAAUUGAAAAUGUGGAUUUUUAAGAUUGCCCUGCUGAUAAAAAAGAUAAAAAUAUAAUAAUUAUAGAUAACAAUCAAAGUACAUAUUUUAAGCAUCGUCUAAAUAAAUUAUAUAUUGACUAAUUUAUGCCCCACACAAUGGUGACUAUUACUAUCCACAUUUUGUAGACAGGGAGAGUGAUGCACAGAGCCAUGAGAUGACUUCCUCCCGCUUGCCCAGCUGUUGAGAUGGCAAAGACUGGAGUCCUCAGAGAGUGGUUCUUGGUCAUACUGCUUCUUGAUGGGGGAGUGAUGCACUUGCUUUCAAACUACAGAGUGGAUAUCGACUGGUUACUAGAAAUUAACUCUAACAUAUAUAUGGAAAACAAGAAACCAUAGCCCAGGAAAGAGGGAGCCAAAUUUCCUAAAACUGAUUAGCUUUUCUUUAUAUACAAAGUGUAACUCUUCAUUUACUUAGAUUUUGAGCACCUUUUGUGUACCAAGAACUGCACUGGGAGCUAGAAGGAAUUAAGAGAUGAAGGACAGCCCCUGGCCUCAAACAGCUGUCAAUCAUGCUCAGAAGAACAGAAAAAUUUGUAAUAAAAUAAGAAGAAACAGUACGGGGAUGAAGGACCACUCAUCUGCUCAUGUGUCACUGAACACCCUGAAGUUCAUAGUAAAAUAUCUAAUGGCAGAGGAAAAGCUCAGAAGGGCGUUCAAGUGACCAAGAGGGUUGGAGGCCUCAGCUUCAUUUGAUGCCUAAGAGAAGAUGGGUCAAUAUGGCUCUUUUCUUAAAAGAUGUGCUACAUACCAUAAAUGUACUUGAAUUCCUUCCUUGAUAAUCAAAAGUCUGUCAAGAGGUUUGCUGGCAUUCGAUUCUGAUACUAUGCUGUUUGACAUCAUUCAAUAACAUGUUGCACACUGAACAAACAAGUGUUACUCUUUAGUCUCCAACAUAUGUCAAAUAAAUGGCUAUUUCAGUUCCA